GAACGGUCGGCAGGCGAUCCGCGUCGGUCGCGCGAGGUGGUAUGGUUCCCCAGAGGCCGGUUCUUGUGCUGCCUACCCCUUCAGGGGAAGCGGGCCACUUGAUGUAAGCCUCCAUCCGGCGCCCUCCAACGGGCGCAGGAGGACAACAGAGCACACCCCGCGUACCACCGAGCCUUCGUCGGUCGCGUGGCGCGCGGGGACGUGCGAUGCUCUCGGACCCAGCGGACGCCGUGGGCGAGGACUCACGUCCCAGUCCCGAUAGAAGCUUCGGUAUAAUGCAUGACGGCCGCUCCCGCCCCCCGACCGCCCCGGCGGCGCGUGGGCGAGGCGCGGCGUCGCGGAGGAAUGCUAC
rnacentral:misc_RNA from 1 species